GACGAACGCUGGCGGCGUGCCUAAUACAUGCAAGUAGAACGCUGAAGGAGGAGCUUGCUUCUCUGGAUGAGUUGCGAACGGGUGAGUAACGCGUAGGUAACCUGCCUGGUAGCGGGGGAUAACUAUUGGAAACGAUAGCUAAUACCGCAUAAGAGUAGAUGUUGCAUGACAUUUGCUUAAAAGGUGCAAUUGCAUCACUACCAGAUGGACCUGCGUUGUAUUAGCUAGUUGGUGAGGUAACGGCUCACCAAGGCGACGAUACAUAGCCGACCUGAGAGGGUGAUCGGCCACACUGGGACUGAGACACGGCCCAGACUCCUACGGGAGGCAGCAGUAGGGAAUCUUCGGCAACGGACGGAAGUCUGACCGAGCAACGCCGCGUGAGUGAAGAAGGUUUUCGGAUCGUAAAGCUCUGUUGUAAGAGAAGAACGAGUGUGAGAGUGGAAAGUUCACACUGUGACGGUAUCUUACCAGAAAGGGACGGCUAACUACGUG
rnacentral:rRNA from 1 species